rnacentral:rRNA from 1 species
UACGGAGGAUCCAAGCGUUAUCCGGAUUUAUUGGGUUUAAAGGGUGCGUAGGCUGCUCGUUAAGUUAGAGGUGAAAUCCCGGUGCUCAACACCGGAACUGCCUCUGAUACUGGCGGGCUAGAGUAUAGUUGCUGUGGGCGGAAUGUGUGGUGUAGCGGUGAAAUGCUUAGAGAUCACACAGAACACCGAUUGCGAAGGCAGCUCACAAAGCUAUUACUGACGCUGAUGCACGAAAGCGUGGGGAGCAAAC